UACAGAGGUCUCAAGCGUUGUUCGGAUUCAUUGGGCGUAAAGGGUGCGUAGGUGGCGCCGUAAGUCGGGUGUGAAAUUUCGGAGCUUAACUCCGAAACUGCAUUCGAUACUGCGGUGCUUGAGGACUGGAGAGGAGACUGGAAUUUACGGUGUAGCAGUGAAAUGCGUAGAGAUCGUAAGGAAGACCAGUGGCGAAGGCGGGUCUCUGGACAGUUCCUGACACUGAUGCACGAAGGCCAGGGGAGCAAACGGG
rnacentral:rRNA from 1 species